AUGGCGGAGCUGAUCGACCCGUCCACACACACAUGGGACCAGCAGCUCGUGGAGCAAACUUUCUGCGUGGACGAAGCCAUCACUAUCCUGGGCAUUCCCAUCUUUGAACACCAUGAUGACUUUAUUGCCUGGCAGUUUGACAACAAAGGCAGGUUCUCGGUCAGGUCAGCCUACAGAGUACAUGUCGAUCUUCAGAAACGCCAGAGCAGGCACCCAUCGGGCGAAGGAUCCUCUGGGGUAGAUGGUGACAGAAAGUUAUGGAUGAAACUAUGGAAGACCCAAUGUACGGGCAAGGUGCACCAUUUCAUGUGGCGGGUGGCACACAAUAGUCACCCAAUGUUCAGGAACAUUCAGCGUAUCGGCGUGGAACUGGACACGGGCUGCCUGAUGUGCAAACGAUUGCCUGAAGAUGGAGGACACCUUUUCUUGCACUUCAAGGAAGUUAAACUCAUGUGGCGCACUAUGGGAAUGGAGGCUUAUAGGCUGUGGCUCCUGGCAUGUCCUCCCCCCGCCAUUUCCUGGAAUGCAUUUUCUCUUACCUUGAUGAUGUUUCGCUCAAGAUCACUUGCCUCCUAUGGAUGUGGUGGACCGAGAGGAACAAAGUGA
rnacentral:rRNA from 1 species